rnacentral:lncRNA from 1 species
GGGGAAAAAGAUAUGUUUGAUAAAUAGAAAACUUUAAUGAGGGGAUUCGUUAUAAGCUCAAUAAAUAUUACUGAGCAUUCACUCUGUGUCCGGCACUGAAAGGAAAACAGAUAAAUCCAAGAGCUCAUAGUAUGUUGGGGGAAAUAUCUACAUGAAUUCACAUCACUGUCGUGUAAGGCCCAGAGUGCUCAGGGCCAUUAGAGGAGGCAAAUGGGACUCAGAAUCCAGAACAUCUGGAACAUGAAGGAGCUAUCCGGAGGAGGUUACGUGUUAGCUGGACUUUGAAGAACAACUACGAUGGAACACGAAGCCUUGACCGUGGGGCCGGGGAAGACGUACUUGUUGGAAGGUCAGCAUGAUCCAUCGUGUUUCCCCUCCUCAUCCUGCUCCUCCAAUCAAUAGAGACCAGGUACUGACAGCCUCAAAUGUGGAAAUGUCCGGGAUUUCUCCUGAGCCCUGAAGAGCCCUGGUGUCCCAACACCCCAGGAAUUGGACAGAGAAUUCUACAGUUGCCUUCGGUCUAGAUCGUGAUCUAGGAACGGAUGCACCGUAUCAAAAUACAAAAUCCGGAUGCUUACCUGUUGUUCUUUUCGGCCGCGCAAGGAAGGGCCUUGGGUCCUCCUAAAGCUGUCAGCCCUGCUGCCGGAUGAAGAGUGUGGCUGAGAGCCACAUCUGCUCGAAAGGGGAAUGGAGGGUUCAGGGGUGCACCCAGCAAAACAUCGUGAACGCCUGCCAGGAUGAGCUGCUGGCCAUCUGUAUUAGUUUCCUGGGGCUGCUGUGACAAAUGACCACAAACUUCGUGGCUUGAAAGAACAGAAAUAUGUUCUGUCACAGUCUUGGAGGCCAGAAGUCUGAAAUCAAGGUCGGCAGGGCCCUGCUCCCUCUGAAGGCUCUCGAGGAGAAUCCUUCCUUGCCCCUUCUAGCUUCCGGUGGCUCCAGGUGUUCCUCGGCUGUGUAGGCAUCCGCUCCAGUCUCUGCCUCCGUCUGCACGUGGCUUUCUCCUUUGUGUCUUUCCCUUCUCUCCCGUCUCGAAUCUCCGUCUGCCUUUCUCUCACAAGGAUGCCUGCCACAGUAAUCCAGGAUGAACUCAUCUCAAGAUCCCUGACUUAAUUACAUCAGCAAAGACCCCUUUUCCAAACAAGCUUUGUUCCCUUCAUUGCCCUCACUCCAGUGGCACCUCCAUCCACUCAGUUGCUCAAGCCCAAAACCCGGCAUCACCCUUGAUUAUGUUUUCCUAUUUCCGCACGUCAAAUCCGGCAGAAAGGACUGCGAGCUCUACCUCCUAAACAGACAGACGCAGAUACUCACCUGCUUUGAUCACUGACUGUGCCCAGAAAAGCGCCUGGCUCCUAAUGCAACUGAAUAUGUAUUUGUGGAAUAAAUGAGUGUAUAUUUUAGAAAAAUCACUCUGGUAACAAUUUGGAAAAUAGACUUGAAGGGAAGAAAUCCGUGCUUUUAGAAAGUUCUCUCUGGCUAGAUGGUGCAGUGUGGAUUGGACACAGAAACCCCACAGUCUCUUGGAACACCAAACCCUGCAGGCUGUUCGAUGAGGUGAAUUCCACAUGAUUAUAGCCUAGAAGUGGCUUGGAAGCUUUCUUCACUGAGUCCGACAGGGAAAGAGUUACCCCGAGCUAACAUCUGUUGCCAGUCUUCGUCUUUUUUAUCCCUCCCCAAAGCCCCAGUGCAUGGAUGUAUAUCCUUGUUGUAAGUCCUUCUGGUUCUCCUAUGUGAGCUACCACCACAGCAUGGCAACUGACAGACGGGUGGUGUGGCUCCAAGACCAGGAAACGAACCCGGGCCCCAAACUCAGGAUCUCAUGAAUGCAGCCUCUACUGGAAGACGUUGCACAAACGCAAUGUUCCUUGGGUGCUGAAUGUAUGUGAAUUUAUGGCGCAUGUAGUUUGCAUUUUCCUAUUAAACGGGGAACAUGUAAACAGGGCAGGUCUUCACUCAAAACAUUAUGAGACUUGCUCCAGUUUCUCCCUAACCAGAGGGUAAUUUUCUGGAAGUCAGGGCCACCUUGUGUCUCCAGAGACCAGAGGAGAGCUGAACUGAAGAGUCUGAGACAGAGCUGCAGCAAAGCCUCAGGAGCUUCCUCAGUUCUGUGCUUUUAUUAGAGAGCGGAACAGCGACCACCGUGUGGGCGGAGCAGGUCAGCUGGGACUACAUCCAAAGGAACGGCUCUGCUGCUCAAGACGUUACCAGAAUCCUAAGGUGCUGAGGGGAGGUUUCAGCGUGGCUAAAAUUCGGAAAUUGCUGAGUUCAUGCAGAAGAAUGAAGACUCAAGUCCACAGGUCCAGGGCUAGCAAGAGACGAAACCAGGGGUAGGGUCAAUGGCUUCAUAGCUGUGAGACCACUGAUACGUGCUCUUCCUUUGAAGGACGUCUUCAGCCUCAGCUGCUUUUAUCUUUUAGGUUUCUAUGGCGCAUCUCAUUGUCCUGAUCCUGAAAACGGGGAUUUGGGCACUUAAUGGGAGUUUCAUGCAGUGAAAACAUUUCUGAGUCCUCUAAGCAGAGGCACACCUUUGUUAAUGUCCAUGUCCUCAGUUAAGCCAGGGCCGGUUCCUCUAGUGGGACUGGAGGUUCAGUAAUGGGGACAAUAUCCACAGCAACCCUGGAAUACUGUAUUCCACAGGUGGCAGUGGGGGUUAUGGGAGAAAUGUCUUCUUAGGAAGAGUUUUUCCUCUCCAGGACAGGGCCAGAAAAUGAGGCCUCCAAUUAAUUAAGUUUAAGGAUUCUAAUUUAACAUUUGGGGGACACUGGUUCUUAAACAUGGAAUGGGACAAAGCACCGCAACAGUACAAGAAGCCUGUGCUCAUCAUGGAGCGUUGACAGCAUUAGAUAUUACUUUGGUCCAGGACCCAGGAAAACAUAAAUUCUGUCAUGCUCAGUCUCUUCUUUUCCUUAUUAUGUAUUUACAAAGAUAUAUGUUUACACAGAACAAAGGCAAAUUCACAUUUUAUUGUUAGCUGGGGUUGAGACCCAAUCCAAUGCAGAGAACGUUGGCUGCCGGGCUGGAGCACUUUCCUCCCCGUUUAGAACGCAAGAGCUUCAGUCAAGGGUCAAUCCAACAUGCUGGUUAACCCAAGGGCAAAGAUAAGCAGAGAGAAAGAGACUCUUCCACGUGCCACGCUGGCCUAAACGCCUGGACUGUUGCUGUUAAAUUGAUCCGUUUUUUAUUUUAUGUUUCACACCUUUUGUGUCCUGAGUAAAAAAUCUUUGCCUACUUUAAGGUCUCUAAGAUUUUCUCUUAUGUUUUCCUCCAGGAGUUUGGUAGUUUCGGUUUUAUGUUUUGUCCUAGGAUCUAUUUCAGGUUAGUUUUUGGUAUGAGGUGAGGUAAGGGUUGAGGUCCAUCUUUUCCCAUUUGAUAUCCAGUCUUUCCUGCAACAUGUGUUGAGGACUGUCCUUUCCUCACUGGAUUACCUUGGCACCUUUGUUGAAAAUCUGUGUGUGAACUAUCUAAUCUGUUCCAUUGAUCCGUUUGUCUAUCCUUACACCAAUAUCACACUGUCUGAAU